rnacentral:ncRNA from 2 species
CGCUUAUCAAGAAAGGCUGAGGGACUGGCCCAAUGAAGCCUUGACAACCUGUUCCGUGCCGCACAAUGCGGUAUGGGGAAAGGUGCCAACUCCAUCACGCUGAGGCGUGACAGAUAAGUC